rnacentral:rRNA from 1 species
AACGACUCUCGGCAACGGAUAUCUCGGCUCUCGCAUCGACGAAGAACGUAGCGAAAUGCGAUACUUGGUGUGAAUUGCAGAAUCCCGUGAACCAUCGAGUCUUUGAACGCAAGUUGCGCCCGAAGCCAUUAGGCUGAGGGCACGUCUGCCUGGGCGUCACGC